rnacentral:tRNA from 1 species
AGCUUCAUGGCGCAGUGGAAGCGCGCCGGGCUCAUAACCCGGAGGACCCCCGAUCGAAACGGAGUGAAGCUA